CACAAUUGUGUUAGAGAUAACACUGCCUCAUGACUGUUUUACCUUUGCUCUUUCACUGAAAGGGAUGCCAUUCCCUCUUUCAUCUAGCUCUAGUUAGGUGGGUUGUUGUUUUUCACUAGUACGAAACAUUAGCACUAAAUAAGUAUGCUGUUUAAUUUUAGGUCUCUAUUCAACGCUAGGAAUCUCAACAAGAUCAGCAAGCAUCUGGUGCGAUGUAUUUGGCUUGGGCCACCUACUAAAUCUUCCAUUCAGUUGAAAGGUCUUGACCUCUUGACUUUGCAAAAUUAUACAGCUGAAGAAAUCAAAUAUUUGCUUUGGGUGUCAUCAGAUCUGAAAGAAAGAAUCAAGCACAAAGGGGAGUAUUUGCCUUUGCUACAAGGAAAAUCUUUAGCCAUGAUUUUUGAGAAAAGAAGUACAAGAACUAGAUUAUCUACAGAGACAGGAUUUGCUCUCCUUGGAGGACAUCCUUGUUUCCUCACAGCAGAAGACAUUCACCUGGGUGUUAAUGAAAGCAUCGCUGACACGGCCCGAGUACUGUCAACUAUGACAGAUGCAAUCCUGGCUCGAGUUUAUAAACACUCUACUCUGGAGGUGUUGGCGAAAGAGGCCUCGAUCCCAGUGGUAAAUGGACUCUCUGAUUCUGACCAUCCUAUCCAGAUUUUAGCUGAUUACCUUACACUUCAGGAACACUAUGGGUCUUUGAGUGGAUUGACACUAAGCUGGAUAGGUGAUGGAAAUAAUGUCCUGAACUCAAUUAUGUUGAGUGCUGCUAAGUUUGGGAUGAAUCUGCAUAUUGCUACUCCAAAGGGUUUUGAACCAGAUCCCAUGGUAACCAAAAUAGCUGAAGAGUAUUCUGUAAAGUACUCCACCAAAUUGUUUCUUACAACGGACCCUUUUGAAGCUGCCAGAGGAGCCAAUGUUUUAAUCACAGAUACAUGGAUAAGCAUGGGGCAGGAAGAAGAAAAACAGAAGAGACUGAAGGCUUUCCAGGGUUUUCAGAUCACAAUGCAGACUGGGAAAGUGGCUGCUCCUGGUUGGACAUUUUUACACUGCUUACCAAGAAAGCCACAAGAAGUCGACGAUGAAGUGUUUUAUUCACCACAAUCACUGGUUUUUCAAGAGGCUGAAAACAGAAAAUGGACAAUUAUGGCUGUCAUGGUUUCCCUGCUGACAGAUUACUCACCACAGUUGCAAAAGCCUACAUUUUGAUUUUUGGGUUUUUGCCAGGAGAGAAAGAUUCCUCACCAGCAGAAUAUUCUGAUCUAUGAAAUCUCUCUUUCUCUCUCAGAAGCAAGAUCAAAGCAAUGAUGAAUGAAAAGGAGAAAUUCAGACCAGGUCAAUGGAAAACAUCCAAGAGGGAUGGUUGGACUUGCAAGUCACCAAAGUAAUUUAUGGAUUUGACCGAGGGUGAUUUACUCAUGAAAACAGCUGAUAAUGCAAGCAAGCGAGUGCCGUUUAGGCUCCAGAGAAGAGGAUCCUCCAAGGCAGUCGGUCAGCAAUAUAAAUGAGGCAGUCUGCCUCCUGGCUCAGUCUGAAGCAACAUGGCAUGCAGCCAUUCUCCCUAGUAGGAGAACAGGCUCACCCCUCUCCCAUUUGGCCAGAUACCACCCAGAGGAUCUACUCUCCUGUCUGCCUCUGGGAGGGGACCAUCCUUCAAGGAAUCCCAAGGCACCAGCUCAGCUGGGAAUGCCAGGAAGCACCCAGUGUGGUCGAUGGAGGCAAAGGACGGGACAUCGAGUCCUUCCCAAGGACCUGGAAUAAUGAUGAUGAUGAUGAUGAUGAUGAUGAUGAUGAUUAGGAAGCAUUAAAAAAAAAUUGAAUGUCUCUACUGCAGCCUUGAGUGGCACAGUCCACAGUCUGUGAAUGCAAAAACUGGCCCUACGUUUCCUAGUGAGAAGAGAACUAGCUUUCUGAGAUGCUUUAAAAAUAGAACAUCUCAAGAAGGAAGAAAGCUGAAACCAAAAUAUAAUGCAUUUGUGAUUAAAACGGAGUCACAUUUUGGAUACUUUGUCCAUAUUUCUGAGAAGUUAAUUUGUCUACAAGUGAAUUAAUUUUUAGGUUUAUAUUAUUGGCACAGAAGGAUCUUAUACUAGAAGAAACUCCUGUGCUACAUACAGCCUACGUGCUCUCAUAUUAACUGGGGUUAGCCAUACUUUACCUGGCACAGAAUAGCAGCUAUGAUAAACAAACCUCGUCUUAGAGUCAAAUGACAGUUGAGGUGGUAUAUUUUACAAACAAAUUUUGUCCCCCUAUAAAAUGAUCUCUGUGUUUCAUGGUAAUUCGGGAACAUUUGAAAUUGUGCAAAAAUGUUCUCCCAUUCAGUGAGGGGAGAAAGUGUUGCCUUCGAUGAACACUAUGAGACAUCUUUGCUGGUGUCACGUUCCAUCCUCCCCAUCUUGAUUUGGGCCUCAAAGACCAAGGAAAAGUAUGGGUGCAUGGAGGGCAAGUUGUAAGUUAACACAAUUGGUGUAAUUGUGUAGAAAUGGAUGACAACAUCAGGGGUGAUGGACCAAUUAGGAUGGUCCGCCCAAAAAGGCUCCUGGACCCAUUAGAAUUCCAAAAGGCCUUGGAGGGUUUCGAAGCUGGUGCUGCCAGUGAUUCUGUCGAUGCCCUGGUGGGAAGCUGGAAUAAGGAACUUGCCAGAGCAGCAAACAUGAUUGCUCCUAAGCGUCCCUCCAGACCCACUUCGAAAGCGGCUCCCUGGUAUACCGAGGAGUUGCGAGGGCUGAAGCAGCUGGGUAGGCAACUGGAGCGCAGGUGGAGGAGAACUCAACUUGAAUCUGACAGGAUGCAGCAUCGGACCCACUUGAGGGCUUACACGGAGGCGGUGCGUGCAGCAAAAAAGACGUUUUGGUCGGUUUGCAUCGCUUCCACGGGUUCACAUUUGGCAGAGUUAUCCCAGGUAGGGAGGUGUUUAAUUUCUACUCCUUCUGUUUCUAAUCAGUUCUCAGAGGUGCUCUGCUGCGAUGCCCUCAGUGGGUUCUUUGCGGAUAAAAUACCCUGUAUUUGGGCCAACUUAAAUUCCACUUUUUCUGCAGGGUCUACGGAGGAGGUGUCCAGCAAUCCUUCUUGCAGUGUUAGGUUGGAUCAGUUUCAAUCUGUGAUUCCUGAGGAUGUGGACAAGCUGCUUCAAGCAGUGCAGCCUACCUCUUGUUCUCUGGACCCUUGCCCGAAUUGGCUGCUUCGAUCUAGCAGGGAGAUCAUUCGAGGUUAGUGAAUAUCAUAAAUGCAUCCGAGGGAGGGUAUGGUGCCUCCAUGCUUGAAGGAUACAAUAAUUAGACCAUUUCUUAAGAAGUAUUCUCUGGAUCCCUCAGCAAUGGAUAGUUACAGGCCAAUCUCUGAUCUCCCCUGGUUCGGCAAGGUGAUCGAGAGGGUGGUGGCCGACCUGCUCCGGGCGGUCUUGGAGGAAACCGAUUAUCUAGACCCAUUUCAAACUGGCUUUAGAGUAGGUUAUGGGGUUGAGUCAGCCUUGGUCAGCCUGAUGGAUGACCUAUACUGGGAAAUCGACAGAGAGAGUGCGACUCUGUUAGCUCUCCCAUCAACCAUGGUAUCUUUAUGGGUCACCUGGGGAAGUUGGGGAUAGGAGGCACUGCUUUGCAGUGGUUUUGCUCCUAUCUCUCGGGCAGAUUCUAGAUGGUGGAGCUUGGUGAAAGUUGCUCUUUUAAAUGAGAGCUGUUAUAUGGAGUUCCUCAGGGCCCCAUUCUGUCACCAAUGCUUUUCAAUAUCUACAUGAAACCACAGGGUGAGGUCAUCAGGAGAUUUGGUGCUGGGUGUAAUCCAAAUCUACUUCUCUCUUUCAUCUGCAUCAUCAGGAGAUGACGUUCAUUCCCUAAAUGCCUGCCUACAGGCAGUAAAGGGCUGGAUGAGGGAGAACAAAUUGAAGCUGAAUCCAAGCAAGAUGGAGGUGCUCAUUGUAGGGGCUCAGAAUCUGAGGGAUGAGUUAGAUCUUCCAGUGAUGGAUAGGGUCACACUCCCCCGGAAAGAGCAGGUAUGCACCUUGGGGGAUCUCCUGGAUCCGGACCUCACCCUGGUAUCUCAGGUGGAGGCUGUGGCCAGGAGUGAUUUUUAUCAGCUUAGGCUAAUUCAACAGCUGCGUCCAUUCCUAGAGGAGGAAGACCUCAGAACAGUGGUGAACCAGCUGGUAACCUCUAGGCUUGAAUACUGCAAUGCACUCUAUGUGGGGCUGCCUUUGUACGUAAUUUGGAAACUUCAGUUAGUUCAAAAUGCGGCAGCCAGGCUGGUCUCCAGGACAACUCGGAGAGACCAUAUUAUGCCUGUUUUGAAACAGCUGCACUGGCUGCCGAUAUGUUUCUGUGCGAAAUACAAAGUGCUGGUUAUUAAAUUUAAAGCCCUGAACGGCUUAGGUCCAGGUUACUUUUGAGAGCACCUUCUUCAGUCUAAUGCCCACCGCAUGCUAAGAUCAUCUGGGGACAUUCAGCUCCAGUUGCCAUCGGUUCGUCUGGUGGCGACUCAAAGGCGGGCCUUCUCUGUAGCCACUCCUAGACUGUGGAAUGCACUCCCUGCAGAAAUCCGUAAUUUGAAUUCUUUAUUGGCAUUUAGGAGAGCCCUAAAGACCUCUCCGUUUGGCCUGGCCUUCCAGGGUUUUUAAACUGUUAUAAAAAAAACUUACUACAUUAAGAACCCUUUAAAGGUUUUGAAUUGUUUUAUUUUUUAGCUGUCGUAUUUUUUUUGUUAAUUCUGUUUUGAUCAUUGAUUGAUUUUAACUGUUUUGUGGUGUUUGUAAACCGCCAUGAGCUAUUCUGUAAGGGCGGUCUAGAAAUCGAACAAACAAACAAUAAAAUUAAUCAUCACCACAUGGCACAUCUGUUAAGGCAUCAGCCUUAGGUUCUAAUUUCCUGGCUUUGUGGAGCUUCAGCCAAAAUGAGAUAGCCUUAAUUCUGGUCUUAAACCAGCAGGUUUUUUGACUGUCUAAUAGAUUUAUAUCUUGACUUGCUAUCCUGCUUUUCUCUUCUAAACAAGCCUCAAAACAGCUAACAACAUUUAAUAUUACAGCAUCAAAACAGUAUUCCAUAUAAUAAUAUUAAGCAACAUUAACAAUAUAAUUAAUUCAUACAAUACAAAUACUGCAUCCACCAGUUGUAGUUCCACCUACUGAAUAGUAGAAUCUUUGAUUAGUUGAUUAUCUAUGUCCAUUGGAAAGGCACCUUAAAUAAUUCUCAAGGUUUUUUCCUUACUGGGAUUUUUGUUCAUAUUAGUAGAUUAUUAAGAAUGUUUAAUUAUCUAACAGUAAAUGAUAAAGGAAAAGGAGAAAAUUAUAACUAAGAUUAGAACAAAACUUUAGCAUUGAAAAAAACAGAUAUAUUGUUCAUCUGGGUAAUACAAAAAUAUUGAGAAGAAAAGAGGCUGCUAAUAAAUUAUGCCCUUGUUACAGUAUUGUGCCUCUGCAGAAGUACUGAAAAUCCAGCUUUCUGUUCUCAGAUAAGUAAGCAGGAAGAGUAGAAACAAGAUAGAAAAGAUUAAGGGAAAACAAGGAGAUGGGAAGGGAAUGAUGGGGUGUGUAUAUAGAAGUCUUUGUGUGCCAACUGAACAAGGGCUCAGAGAAGGAGAUUAUAGCAGCUGCUCUUAGGGGUCAAUAUUAGGGCUAUUCAUACAUAUUGUAUGUUAGUACUGCUGUCUAUACACACACAUGUAGGCUUUUGUGUGAAUGACUGUACAUGUGUUUUAAGAUGAACACAUGUACAGUCACACAAACAUCCACAUGUGCAUACAGACAGCAGUGAACCCAGGAACUGGAUCUCUCACAGGGAGAGUAAAGUGUGCUGUCAAGUCAAUUUCAACUCCUGGCACCCACAGAGCCCUGUGGUUUUCUUUGGUAGAACACAGGAGGGGUUUACCAUUGCCUCCUCCUGCAUAAUAUGAGAUAAUGCUUUUCACUAUCUUCCUAUAUCGCUGCUGCCUGAUGUAGUACCAGCGGGGAUUCGAACCAGCAACCUUCUGCUUGUCUGUGAAUGUACAUUGCACUUAACGUAUUAAUAACUGUAUGUGCGCUCAGAUCAACAGUCUGUGAAUGCUGUAGUACAUAGUGUAGAUGUGUAUAGUAUGAUGUGUGAAGAGUCCUAUUGUCAUCAAAGCACUCCAGAAAACAUCUCAUAUGUCAUUGUGUACAAGGUAUUCCUUCAUGUACUUCACUUGCUUUCAAGAUGCCAAUUCUAAGAGUUCUGCUACUCCGUUGUCAAUAUCAGGUGGAGAGCAGGAUCUCCAAACUCAAAACUAGUUUAUUAACAUCUAAUGCAGUGCCAAUUAACUAAGCCUUGCCAGUUAGAGGGGUUCUUGAUGUUCUGAUGUGCACCUGAAUUUAACCAGUAGCUUGCCUUACUUAAUGUAAUUUCUCAAAAAUAUUCCGCUCAUUGCCAUGUCAGUCUUCAAAGUCACUUUCCCCAUCUAUAAAAUUAAGAGAGCAAUUUUGUACCCUCCUCAGGGGAAGGCUACUGAGAGACUAAUUCCAGGUUUUCAAAGCAAUUGGGGAGCACUGAAUGGAGAUUGUGAAAGAUGGGCAAGGUAUUAUUGUACCCUAUAGGCUUGUCAUGAAUUCAUUACGUGGAACAAACAAGAAAUGCAUACAAAUUGGAUGAGUAAUGAAGAAUAAAAUGGAGGGAAAGAUAUGGGGGGGAAAUCCCCAAAGGUUAGUGCUCAGAGAAUCAAAAAUAUAAGUAUGGUAGAUGGGAAUCUUGAGCAGUUUAACAAAAGAAUUGUGAUUCACACAUGUGUUUUAAGCAUAAUAGUAAUAACACAUUUUCCCAAACUGCUAAAAGCACAUCAUAUUAUGAUCUCAGUCAUCCCUAUUGAGGUGCAAGAAGGUAGAUUGGUGCAAGGAGAUGAGAUGGAAGAGCUCAGUUAUAACAGCAAAGAUGUGGCCAGGGGCCGAUUGUGGCACAAAUCACGAACUGCUCAUGUGCAAGUUUCAAGUCAAGCUAAAGCAGAAAAACAAAGCUAUCCAGCUUCCAUGAUAUGAUCUUGAAAAUGUACCCACCAUUUUCAAGGAGAACAUCAGGAACCGCUUUGACGUUCUGAACCUCAUUGAUAGGGAACCAGAGGAACUGUGGAAUGAAAUCAAAGAAGUUGUUAAGGACAAAUGUGAACAGAGACUGCCAAAAGCCAAGAAACAGAAGAAAGCAAAAUGGAUGUCAGAACAGAUGGUGGAAAUUGCCAAGAAGAGGAGAGAAGCCAAAGUCAAGAAAGGUAAAGACCUCACAAAGGAACUUAAGGUUAAAAGACCUCACAAAGGAACUUAAACUUUUUUUCAGAAAGCUGUUAGAAGAGACAAGGAGCAAUAUCACAAUGACAUCUAUAAAGACCUUGAGGAUGGAAAUAGACACGGAAAAACAAGGAAAGUUUUCCAAAAGAUCUCUGAACUCAGAAGGAGGUUCCAAACCUCGAAUUGGUAUGUUAAGGGAUGCCAAAGGACAGAUAGUAACUGAUUCAGAGACGUUCAAACAGAGAUGGAAGGAAUAUACUGAAAAUCUGUACAGCAGAGAUGUCAACAUCCAAGAUACUCUAGAACAGGCCUGCUCAACAUAGGCCCCCCAGCUGUUUUUGGACUACAACUCCCAUAAUUCUCAGCCACAGCAGCCAAUAGCCAGGGAUUAUGGGAAUUGUAGGCCAACAUCUGCAGGAGGGCCGAAGUUGAGCAGGCCUGCUCUAGAAGAUAUUCCCUACUUGCAAGAACCUCUAGUACGGGAAGAUGAAGUUAGAUUAGCAGUCCAGUCAUUACCAAGUUGGAAUGCUACAGGAAUUGAUGGAAUAGCUACAGAAAUAUAGCAGGCAACAGAAGAAGAAUCAGUCAAGGCUCUAACCAAACUAUGCCAGCAAAUCUGGAGAAUGACACAGUGGCCAACAUAUUGGAAGAGGUCAGUUUACAUACCCAUACCAAAGAAAGGAGACUUAACAGAUUGCGCAAACCAUCGCACAACAUCCUUAAUUUCACAUGCUAGCAAAAUAAUGCUCAGGAUCAUCCAACACAGAUUAGAGCCCUAUGUGGAAAGGGAAAUGAUGUUCAAGCUGGUUUCAGAAAAGGCUGAAGAACAAGAGACAUCAUUGCUGAUACAUGCUGGAUAAUUGAGAAAGCCAAAGAAUACCUAAAAGAAGUCAAUAUGAGCUUUAGAAAGAAGUCAUGUGCUUCAGAAAUGUGCUUUAGAAAGAAGUCACUAUGUACUACAGAAAAGCCUUCGACUGUGUCGACCAUGUCAAGUUGUGGAAUAUCCUUAGGAAAAUGGGCAUCCCAGAACAUCUCAUAGUUCUUAUGAGAAACUUAUACACAAGACAGUAAACUACAGUCCAGAUGGAACAUGGUGAAACACACUGGUUCCAGAUUGGCAAAGGAGCAAGACAAGGCUGUAUACUUUCUCCUUAUUUAUUCACUUUAUAUGCUGAACAUAUACUGAGAGGAGCUGGAUUGGAAGAAGAUGAGCGUGGCUUUAAAGUUGGAAGAAGAAACAUCAAUAACCUGCGCUACGCUGAUGACACCACUCUGACAGCUGAGAAUACAAAUGAUCUGCAAGCUCUAGUCGAGGAGCACAGUGAAAAAAUUGGACUACAGGUUGGGAAUCCUUUAUCCGGACUCCCGAAAUCCAGAAAGCUCCAAAAUCCAGACACCACGCUAAGAGAGAGAGAGAGAGAGAGAGAUGCUUGUAGCUUCAAACUCUCUCUCACACACACAAAAAACCCUCAGCCCCCAAACCAAUCCUGGCCCCAACUCAGCAACUAACAGAGUAUAUACAGUACUGUAUAACAAAGCAGCAAAAAGCCUGCAACUCACAGAGAGAACAUUACGGCAGCUCUGUAAUAGGCUGGGAAGUGUUGAUCGGCCCCUAAACUCACUGUUGUUGCUUCCUCAGCUUGUUAGCUCCCCUUUUAGUUCUUCCCCUCAGGCUUUGCCUCUUAAUGCCUCUUAAGCACUUGCCACUCACAUGCUUCUCAAACCGGUCUGAGAGAGGAGAAGGAGGGAAUGCGGGAAGGAGUGCGAUCCCAUUGAGAAGCGUGUGAGAGGGGAAGGAGGGAAGGCACGAAGGAACUUCAUUUUCAUCUGAGUUUCAUUUCCACCUAAAAUGCCAUAUUUGAGUAAAUUCAAUGCUUAUUUGAUUACAUACUUUAAAUAAAACCUUAAAAAAAAACAAAAAAACAGUAACCUUUCAUGCCCAAUAUAUCUCAUUUAUGAAAAUAUUCUGAAAUCCGGAAAAUCCAAAAUCCGGAACACCUCUGGUUCCAAGUGGUCCGGUUAAAGGAUUCUCAACCUGUACGACUAAAUAUAAAGAAGACUAAACUAAUGACAACGGGUAUAGCAACCAGCCUCAGAAUUGAUAAUGAAGACAAUGAAGUGGUGGAGCACUUUUUAGGAUGGAUGCCUUUUAGGAUGGACCAUCAACAGUAAAGGAUCCAGCAGUCAAGAAAUAUGCCACAGACUAGCACUUGGUAGGGUUGUUGCAAUGAAGGCCUUGGAAAGGAUAUUUAGAUGACAUGAUGUGACUCUACCUACAAAGAUUAGAAUAAUUCAGACAGCGGUUUUUCCCAUGACACACUAUGGAUACCAAAUCUUGACUUUGAAGAAGCAAGAUAGAAAAAGUAUUAACGCUUUUGAACUUUAGUGCUGGACAAGACUUUUGAGGAUACCAUGGCCAGCCAGGAAAACAAACAAAUGGAUCAUAGAACAAAUUAAUCCAGAAUUUUCACUCAAGGCACAAAUGACCAGGCUCAAACUUUCAUACUUCGGAAACAUUAUGUGAAGACCCUGCUCCCUUGAGAAGUCCAUAAUGCUGGGAAAAGUUGAAGGAAAGAGAAGAAGAAAACGACCAGCAGCAAGGUGGAUGGAUUUGAUUACAACAGCAAUGAACGCACCACGGAGAGACCUUAAAGGCCAUGUUGAAGACAGAUCAUCCUGGAGAGAAUCUAUCUAUGUGGUCGUUAUGAGUUGACACUGACUUGACGGCACUUAAUCAACUCAAUCCUUGCAACCCCGGAUUUAGAAUAGUAAUAUUGACAGAUGUUUGGGGUUUUUUUUAAUUAUGAAGGCUCCAACAUAUGUGUUUGUAAACAUACAAAGACACAUAGUGAACAUGAACAAAGGAACAAUAUUGGUCAUGUUCGCAAACUACUAGCUGUUAUGGACAUAGGUUCCUUACAAAUGUUAUGGGUGCUCACCUGGAGCCCGGUUGGAUGGUGGCAAAAACCAGGCUGGGGAGCAGGUGGUUAGCUAGGAAUGUCCAUCUUCCUAACAACUAUCUGUACAUUGGCACCAUAGACAGAAAUGUGCUUCAUUGCUGUCAUCAUGAUAGCGUAGUCUUUCACACUCACACACACACACCCCGAUGAUGAUGCUCAUCCAGUGAAGAUUCAGACUACAUCAUUCUGCAUGUGCUUCAGCUGGUAACAAAUUUCUAGGCCAGAGAGGCAAAGCAAGUUGGUCACCAAACAAAAGGUUUAACAGAAUUAAGCUGCAUAGUUCUUAUAAACCACUAAUGUGAGUUGCUGUCUUAGCACUACAGUCACACACAGCUGAUCUAUAGUGCUGCAUGUAAGCCGUGCAUCCCUGCCCAAUUAGGUUGCUGUAAUGGAUCCAGUCCCAGCCAGCUAACCCAUGAGGGAAGUUUUUGCUGAGUCAGCCCUCUCUCUGAGCUAUGCAGCUGGCUGGGGUUUUAACCUUUAACUUUUAAGACAGAAGUUAAAGAGAAAAACAAGGCUCUGGUAGUUUACUGAAAAUACAAAUCUCUGGUAGGUUAAAUCACUGCCACCAAGCAGUCCAAACUUUUAGAGAGCGAUCCGACUUGGACUAACCGCGGCUACUCAUGAGUAGACCUCUGGAGGGGAGGCAAAAAGCCGCCUCCCAGCUCCAGGGGUCUCCCCAGUAUGCCCUGCACACUCGCGCAGGGCAUACUGGAGCUUCCGGGGGCCGCGCAGCCCCUGAGCUUCCCAGCCCCCGCCGGCUCCAUCACAGAGCCGGCAAUCGUGUGAGCGGCCGAUCCGGCCGCCCAGGGUUCCCUCCCUGAUCGUGAGCGGGGAGAGCGGGCUUAGCUCUUAGAUCGCGAGACCCGGCUCACUGUUUUAACAUGGUUUUAAAACAUUGUUUUAAAAUGUUAAGUUGUUGUAAUGCUUUAACUUUUUUGUUGUCAUUUAUUUUAACUAAUGUUUUACAUUUGCUCUGUUGUCAUUUAUUUUGUUUUGUUGUAAACCACCCAGAGACAUAAGUUUUGGGCAGCAUAAAAAUACGUUAAAUAAAAAUAAACUUAUUGGGCAAAAACAUAAAAACAACUGCUUCCCCACAUGUAAACCUGCACGUGGACAGGGCUAGAGAAUGCUGGCUGAGCUCUUUUGAAAACGUUUUUGCACUAGAGGCUUCCCCUGGCCCCAUUCUACUAAGUGUUAAUCAUUAACUCUAUGAGGGUUUAUAAAAACAUAGAAAACCCUUUUAUUACAUUGCUACAGAGUCGUUGGGGUUAGAUGUCAGCUUUUAGUUGCUCUUAGAAACGCUUACCUUGGUUACAAGAAGAUUCAAAAAUGCCCAGAUCUUUUGUAGGCGGCAUGUAAUUAAUCUUAGUUACUAGGUUACAAGGAACACACAGAAAGUUUAAAAAGUUCUAACGCAGUCUUACUAGAAAUACUUUCUCCUACACUAACUUCCGAAAGCCACAAGCCUGGCUUCCUCCCCUGGAAUCUCCCAAAAGCCCUGGCGAGAUCCAAACCCCUGCAAAUUUCUGACCCUCAGAAAUUUCCUACGGACUCAUCACACAUGAGCAGACUCAAUGCUGGCCUCUCCACAUGCACCCUCAUCCCCUUCUCCUUCCCAGGAGCCCUCAUGUCCCACCCACCUGGUUGACAGAUUGGUCAAGCCCUAGGAUCACCAGCCUGUUAAUCAGGGACAGAGGUUCACUUCCUGUUAACCCUAUUAGAGCUAGAAGGCUGCUCACUAGAGUUGCAACUCACAAAGAGGAAAUCCAGUAAAGUCUGAAUUGAUUGACAUUCCCAUUUCUGCUGAGGCUCUGGAAGAAAGCUUUUAGGUGCUUUAAGGACUACUGGGUUCAAACUAGUGCUUGUUGUGAUUUAAAAGGCUAUGCUGCCCACAAUCCCUGAAUUGGUUGGAUAAUUGUAAAACAAAACAAAACACCUCAUCCACUUUGAAUACAUUAGACACACCCUUUCUCCCUAUAUAUUAUGCAGUCCACACACAUUCCCAAAUAGCACAAUACCAAAAACUCUUGAGUACAAAAACAUUGCUACAAUGGGAACAUCAAUGCCAAACAUGAUGGCAUUGUAUUUUAUCACCCAAUGUGGCCUAUGAGGCAGAUUCUCAUGACAGAUUUAAUCUUCUGGCAAACUGCAGCAAUCUAUAUGGAAAGUUUAAUUUGAAGGGUUGGUGGAGGUUUUGACCAUCUCCUGAAAAAUGCAUCACAGACAGACCAUUUGCUUAAAAAACAACAACACAUAAAAGAGAUAUUUUAUACCAAAUAUAAAUGGUUGUUAUCUAACACUUAUUUCCAAUGCAGCUGUGCAACAAGAUGUUAAUGGUUGUUUUAAAGCAUUUCCUACCUUUCUAGAGGUCUGCCUACAGUUACCACCAGCUCAUCUGGUGGCAACUCAAGGUUGGGCCUUCUCUGUAGUUGCCAUGAGACUCUGGAACACAUCCCCUGCUGGAGCAAGAACUCUACCAUAGUGGCAUUUAGAUGAGCUCUUAAGACUAAUUUGUUUAAUCAAUCCUUGGCUGUCUGUAAGUUGGUUUUUUUGUUAACAUGUUUUAAUUGUUUUGUUAUAGUUACAAAUGGAGAAGUCAUAAUCAUUUUAAUCUUUGUGUAAACCACCAUGAGACACAAAUUUUGGGUGGUAUAUAAAUAUGCCAAAUAAAUAAGGAGGCUUUCUAAAUCCCA